CCUGAAAUAUUAAAAUAUUAUUAAUAUUAUUAAUAUUGAGUAUAAAAUAAUAAUAAUAAUAACAAUAAUAAUAAUAAUAAUAAUAAUAAUAACAACAAUAAUACGAAUAUUCAUGCCCGCAUGUGCAUUGCAUACGUUGGUGCGUAAGUAUUCGUUUUAUAAUAAACUAAAUUUUAAAGUUUCUUUAUUUUUUGGUUAAUAUCACUUUGCUAUACAUAAUGCACAUUUAUUUUAUGUGAAUUAUUGACAUUGAUAAUCAACAUUAGGUACAAAUGAAUGAAAAGAAAUUUAAAGCUGCUAAUUAUAAAAAUAUAUAAAACAUAAUUAAAUAAUAAUGUAAAAUUUUCGAUUUGAUGACUACCUAUUGUUGACUAGAAAAAUUUAUAUACAUUGCAUGUUUUAUACAUAAACUGGAACAGUAUCUAUAAUAUUGUUAAUAAUGUGGUUAUUAAACACUUCGCUAGUAAGUUCUGUUACCAAAUGAAAGUUAGAUUUGAGAUUAAGUUCCAUCGUUUCUUUUCACAAAAUAUAUUUCACUAUUAUUGCAGAUGCAAUCAUUAAAAUUUGUGCAACAAUAUAAUCAUAAAUUCGUAAAUUUACCAUCGUGAUAGAAGCGAUGUGACUAUGUCUAAAAUAUUUAUAUACAUAAAUACACAUAUACUUAUAUAUGUAAAUAGACAUAAAAAGCAUAUAUAUACCACAUAAUGCAUUAGUGGUGCUUGAAUUUGACUACACCUCUUGCAGUGAAGGAUCAGUUAAACCUAGCCCAUAACAUAGAUAGGAAUGGAUGGAAAAAUAUUGACUUGUUUAACAGGCUUAGGAUAAGAAUGGAAAGAACUAAGGAUAAAUAAAUAUCAAAAAUAAUAUCUGUGUAUAUGUAUGAAGUAUAUGCAUAUAAAUUGUAAUAUCGCUAUAAAAAAAUAUAAAAAUCAUAUUAAUCUCGUUUCUUAAUUAAUGAGUACGAUAUAUCUUCGCAUAUAUAAAAUAAUAUUUGUAAAAAAAAAAUGCGAAACAAUAAGAGAGAAAGAGAGAAAGAGAGAAAGAGAGAGAGAGAGAGAGAGAGAGAGAGAGAGAGAGAGAAAGAGAGAGAGAGAGAGAAAGAGAUAGAGUAGUCAGAUGCUGAAUUCCUGUAAAAUGAUUGUUAUUUUAAAUGAUUGAAUAAAUAUACAUUUAAGGAAAUAAUAUUCCUUGUGAAUAGCUGGAAAAAGAAAAAACAAAUCGAAUGAGAGGAUGGAAUGGAUAAGUAUCGUAAACAUGGGAUGAAAAUGUUAUCGCUUAGUCACUAAAUGUUUCUGUCAGUGGACUAGAAGUUUUUCUGCACCCCCACAAUCCGAUCCAACCAGGAGAACCUGUGCAAGGCGUUUAUAACAUUAAAACCAGACGUGCCAUUAUACGAAUAAUGUUAUUGACAAACACAUAUUCGUAAAGUGGACAAAUGCAGUCACCGCGUAACGAUGGUUCAGUUCUGUGUACUCUCUUUUAUAGUCAUUAAUUAUAAAUUGAAAAUCUUUUGUUUUUUGUUUUUUUUUUUUUUGUAAACAAUUGUUUGACGAUAAAAUAAAGAAAAUAGGGGACCGAGA